rnacentral:sRNA from 1 species
CCCAUCGUCCGGCCCGGGCUGGCGAACAAUCAGCGAUGGGGACGGGGGAACCGUUUCAUGGGUCGCGGCCCUGAUCGCGGCCCUCGGGGUGAAUCCCGCUCAAUGCGGGUAGGGCGUCUCCAGCCCGAACCCGGCAGCUAACCUCGGCGGCCACAGGAGAGGAACA